GUAUUUCAGGACAGCCAGGCAGGGGUGGACGUCCUCCGAGAAACUGAGCAAGUGUCUGUGCUGAGCUCUGGCACCACCAGAGGGCGUAAGAACCCACCCCUGACCAACUUCCCUCUGAGGUGCCAGAAGCAGCGAGGAGCUUCAACUCCCUCAGGGCAGCACGAGGGUCCUGUCAACUAAGUGUUGUUCAUUGAAACACAUGGGCGAGUGGGCUCCAUGUCAGUUUGUAUUUCCAGAACGAUGGCCCUGAACACUUCUCCCUCUGACUUUAAGGGCGCGUGCCCACCGCCAGCGCCAGCACGAGGGCCCUGCAGUGCCCCCGGCUGCCAGCAGAGGGUGCGCGAGCCCUGCUUUUCUAAUCCCGGAGGCCACAGCGUCCUGCCCGUUUCCUCGGCGCAGGCCCUUGCGGGUUCUCCUCAGCACAGACCACGGGAUGCCCCUCACUUUGGGACACCUCGAACCCGCGUCCACGUCACAGAUUUCAUCCUGUCAAGCUCUGGAUUGAAGUUUGCCAGGGGUUUCCCAAUGGCCUUAGAACGAUGGCCUCCAGACCCUGCGUGCUCCUGCCUGCUGCCCUCUCCCAUCCAGUCUGCUACAGCUGCCUGCAGUCCACCUGUGGGGACGCGGGCUCCCGGGUGUCUCAGCGUGGAUUUUAUAUGUGUUCUCCCAGCCCGUUCACCCAGUGAUCACCUUAGGUUUUCAAGGCUUUGUCAAGGGCAUGAAUCUCUCAGGGGCGAGAAGCAGCAGCAGAGCCUCACCCGGUCUAUGUACAGAAAGGCAGCUGUGUACCUGCUGGAUGACCCCUGGUGGCUCUGGAUGCUCACGUCGGCCAGCACACCUUCAGCCAGGUCAUCAGGCCUGGCGGACUACUCCAAGGAACAACACAGAUUCUCAUGACCCACACACUCCACAUCCUGCCCCAGGCUGACUGGAUUGUGGUGCUGGCAGAUGGGGCCAUUGUAGAGAUGGGUUCCUACCAGGAGCUUCUGCACAAGAAGCGGGCCGUCAUGAGUCUUCUGGAUCAAGCCAGACAGCCAGGAGAUAGAGGAGAAGGAGGUACUAGGUGGGCUUUGCUGAUUCUCCGUGCCUGGCUCUUGCUACCCUUGGGGAAAAAGG
rnacentral:lncRNA from 1 species